CCCUUAGAUGUUCUGGGCCGCACGCGCGCUACACUGAUUCAUGCAACAAGUUCUGUCCUUGGCUGAAAGGCCUGGGUAAUCUUUGAACGUGAAUCGUGCUGGGGAUAGAUGAUUGCAAUUAUUCAUCUUCAACGAGGAAUUCCUAGUAAACGCAAGUCAUCAGCUUGCAUUGAUUACGUCCCUGCCCUUUGUACACACCGCCCGUCGCACCUACCGAUUGAAUGGUCCGGUGAAAUCUCGGGACGGCGGCUUGGUCGCUUGCGUCCGACUGCUGAAACUUGAUUAAACCAUAUCAUUUAGAGGAAGGUGAAGUCGUAACA
rnacentral:rRNA from 1 species